ensembl:lncRNA
CAGUCUCGGGUGGAGGCAGCAGUUGGGUUGGCUGGAGGUUUACGGCUCUGGGUGGUCCUAUGCCGAGGGUUCAUCAAGAGUGACGGAGCCACUUGUAGCGAAAAGCUCUUAAGCAGCAGUGUGCCUCUGCCAUCUACUGACUGGUUUAUUCUCUCUACUGAUUGGUUUUGGGUGGUGACAAGGCUCAGGGAGAUGGCAGCAUUGCAAGAGGGAGGGAGAUCCCAGAUCAACAUAUUUGGGAUGAGCUCUGAGGCUGUCUCAGCAACUCCUGGACGUCUCUGCCUGUGGCACCUCAGCUGUCUCCGAAUGAACAUUCAGGCAGCUCUGCUGGAGAAGCAAAGGCACACAGGCCCUAAUGCUGGACUGUGCCGCGCUGUGCCCCAGGGAAGGGAGAGAAGACCUGCUGAAACAGUGCACACCUGCCAAGCUUCACAUCAGAUUUCUUCACUCUACAGAAAGAUAAUAGCCUGGAACAGGGGUUGGCCGACACUGUCAGGCAGGACUCAGAAACCACAGAAGGCCCUGGGUGCUUGACGUUGAAGUGUCUACACUGCUUUCCAUCCAUUACUUGCCUCUCCAGUAGAUUUUGCUGUUAUUUUCAUGGAACAAAGACUUUGCCAGACCAGUUUCUAAGUUGGAGAAGUGAAGCCACUUGGUCACUGUUUAACUGAACCAAUUAACUGGAGGUAUGACAGCCACAAGCAUGGACAAGACUCUUGUGCUGCAGAAGGGAGGAUGUGGUUAAGUGUUCUUGUGCAAAGACAUGUGGGGUGAGGGUGAAAUAAUUUUGGGCUGUACCUUAUACUUUUGCGCAUGUAAAUUAUACUUCAGUAACAAGUUAAAAAAUAAAAAAGAAAAGCAAAAUAGUCUUGGCAUACAUUUUGUGGCAAAUUAACUAAUGGUCAACUUGUAAUGCCCAGCUGAACUGAAUCAGUGUGCUCUGUGUGUGGAAGACCCACCUGAGGAUUGUUGCCAAUAGCCAUAAAAAGAGAACUGGAGGGGACGAUCUUAGCCUGUUGAUUUCCUAGGAGAAGCUUGCUGGUGCAAACUUGGCUGCUCUCAUCAAAGGAGGAGCUUAGGCCCUUGCUGUCGCUGGGAAUGGCUGCUGUUCUCAUCAGGGGAGCUCCGAUCCUCACUGAGGUCAUUACUUCUUAUUGAAGAGCAGUGUUCCACUGUAUGAGGAGAACACCAUUGGUUUGUUCACUCUCCAAACAGAAGUUUGAGCUGGAUUGAGUUAUUUUUAGUUUCUGGCUAUUCAAAUAAAGCUUCUAUGACACCUGGUUCUAAAUGUUGUAUUUAUCUUGGGUGACCUGCAGGCAACUAUCAGUGAAAGUUCCUCUCCAGAGUGGGGAUGACACUGUUUUCAUGGCCCCUCCAAAAGGAAGACUCCUGGGACUCCUGUGGCAAUGGUCUGUGGGGACUGGCUUGGCAUCACUCUUCAUCCAAUUCCUCUCCCAUCCUGGAGGCCCCAUCUAGCACCCAGGGAGGGUGCAGGUAGCCUUUUCUAUCCUCUCUCCAUUACACAGCAGAGGGUUAACUUCUGUAUCCUUUCUCUUUGGAGCCUCAACAGAUAUGUGUUUCCUCUUGAGAAAACCCAACUCUUACAAAUUCAAAACUUUGGAUUUCACAGUUAUUUCUGAUGUGGGGGUUCAACACAAAUGUUUAUUUAAGGAGCUGAAAAAUAGAAUAUUAACUAUAUCUUUCUUUUGUACUCUUGAUAUAAAAAAAUCUAUCUUUGCAGCAACUACAAUGCUUCUGACUGAUUUUCCCAACCUUUAUAGACCAGGAAAUACUGAAAAGACAGGACAAAAAUGAUCAUGUCUAGAUAUUAUUUUGUGAUAGAC